GCGCCCGUAGCUCAAUAGGAUAGAGCGCCAGACUUCGAAUCUGUAGGUUGUAGGUUCGAAUCCUACCGGGCGCG
rnacentral:tRNA from 1 species